CUGAGAUCUGCUGGGAAAUGGGGCUGUAGUAGGGCAUAGGAGCAGUGGUGUGUGUGAGUGGUGCAAUGUGUAAGGGGUGCAGUGUGUGUGUGAAGGUUGUAGUGUGUGAGUGAGGGUGGCAGUGUAUGUCAGGGAUGCAGUGUAUGUGUGGGACAGUAUGUGUGUGUAACAGUUGCAGUGUGUGUGUAUGGGGGGCAGUAUGUGUGUAUGGGGGAGCAGCGUGUGUUUGUGUGUAUAGGGGCAGUGUGUGUGUGUAUGGGGGGCAGUGUGUGUAUGUGGGGGCAUUUUGUGUGUAUGAGGGGCAUUUUGUGUGUAUAGGGGGCAGUUUGUGUGUAUGGCGGGCAGUGUGUGUGUAUGGGGGACAGUGUGUGUGUAUGAGGGGCGGUUUGUGUGUAUGGGGGGUGGGAGUGUGUGUGUAUGUGGGGAUGUGUGUAUGUGGGGCAGUGUGUGUGUGUAUGGGGCGGUGUGUGUGUAUGUGGGGUGCAGUGUGUGUGUGUAUGUGGGGGCAGUGUGUGUGUAUGUGGGGCAGUGUGUGUGUGUGUAUGUGGGGGGGGGGCGGUGUGUGUGUAUGUGGGGUGGCAGUGUGUUUGUAUGGGGGCUAGUGUGUGUGUAUGGUGGGUGGUGUGUGUGUAUGGGGGGUAGUGUGUGUGUAUGGGGCUGUGUGUGUGUGUAUGGGGGCAGUAUGUGUGUAUAGGGGCAGUUUUGUGAAUGGGGGCAGUUUGUGUGUGUAUGGGGGCAGUUUGUGUGUAUGGGGACGUAUGUGUAUGGGGGCAGUAUGUGUGUGUAUGAGGGGCAGUGUGUGUGUGUAUGGGGAGACGGUAUGUGUGUAUGAGGGGCAUUUGUGUGUAUAGGGGAGACGGUUGUGUGUGUGUGAGACAGUUUGUGUGCAAUAUGGGGACGGUGUGUGUGUGUAUGGGGGGGCAGUGUGUGUAUGUGGGGAUGUGUGUGUAUGUGGGGCGGUGUAUGUGUGUAUGGGGGGCGGUAUGUGUGUAUGGGGGACGGUGUGUGUGUGUAUGGAGGGCGGUGUGUGUGUAUGGGGGCGGUGUGUGUAUGUGGGGGGCAGUAUGUGUGUAUGGGGGCAGUGUGUGUGUAUGGGGGCAGUGUGUGUGUAUGGGGCAGUGUGUGUAUGGGGGGGCAGUAUGUGUGUAUGGGGGGCAGUUUG